rnacentral:rRNA from 1 species
GACAGAGGGUGCAAACGUUGCUCGGAAUCACUGGGCGUAAAGGGCGUGUAGGCGGGAAGGAAAGUCAGAUGUGAAAUCCCUGGGCUCAACCCAGGAACUGCAUUUGAAACUCCCUUUCUUGAGUACCGGAGAGGAAGGUGGAAUUCCUGGUGUAGAGGUGAAAUUCGUAGAUAUCAGGAGGAACACCGGUGGCGAAGGCGGCCUUCUGGACGGUAACUGACGCUGAGACGCGAAAGCGUGGGGAGCGAACAGG